rnacentral:rRNA from 1 species
AUGGCUGCCUUUCUUGCUCAUUUUUAUGAUCUUACUAUUCGUGUGUCAUCCUCACUUCAUGUCACUUCCAACAACUUUCUUUUCGAGGUUGGCAAUAUACACAUAUUGGUUCAAAAUUGGAUGAGCAGUACAGAUCCUUUGCAAAAACCUAUGGCAGAGAGGAUAAAAGAAAAGUUUGACAAAUACUGGGGGUCUUGGCAUGAGAAUGAAAAGGUGAAGGAUAAGGGUCCUAUUGUAAAUGAAAGAGGGAAAGGGAAGAAGAAGGAGAAGGAGGAGAAGGAGAAGGAAAAUCUCAACUUGCUCAUUUUUAUUGCUGCAGCUCUUGAUCCAAGGUAUAAGCUUUCUGAUUUCACUAGGCUCACUACUUUGGAAAUAUUUGGUGUUGAGUCUAGAGAGAAGGUGUGGUAUGCAGUCAACAAAUGUGUUCGCGAGUUGUUUGAAGAAUACCGAGUAAGAUUGAAUACACAAGAACCAACAACACCAGCCAUUAGCCAAGUAACAAUAGAAGGAGGAGGAGCAAGUAUGAUGAAGGAACUAAUUGCAAGUAGGUUGAGGCAAAAUAAUAGUGGAGGAAGUGCAAUUAGUAAAUCUGAGCUUGAAAAAUACCUUGCUGAAGACUCUGAAGACCCUGACAAAAAAAUUGACAUCCUAGGAUGGUGGAAAGAGAAUUCAUCUAGGUUUCCAAUCUUGGCAAAUAUGGCUCGUGAUAUUCUUGCUAUCCCCAUUACAACUGUGGCUUCUGAGUCUGCCUUUAGCACAAGUGGACGCAUACUUGAUGACUUUAGGACAUCUCUAACUCCGUUUAUGGUGCAAGCUUUAGUUUGUACGCAAGACUGGCUGAGAAGGUCAACAGAUCCGGUCGACAUCAAGGAGAACUUGGAAGAAUUAGAAGUGCUAGAAAAAGAGUUGAUUGAAGAAUUUGGUGACAAGGUGAAGGGAAAGCGCAAGUUCAAUGGUGGUGUUGUUGCUUCUUCCAUGGCCAAGUCAAACAAGUGUGCAAGUCGACCAACAAAGUGA